rnacentral:lncRNA from 1 species
UUACAGUUCCCCACCACCACCACCAUACUACUCGCCGUCACCUAAGGUAGAAUACAAAUCUCCACCACCACCAUAUGUUUACAAUUCUCCCCCACCACCAUACUACUCACCUUCUCCUAAGGUGUACUCCAAGUCUCCUCCACCACCGUAUGUUUACAGUUCUCCACCACCACCAUAUUACUCACCUUCCCCUAAGAUGUCCUACAAGUCUCCUCCACCACCAUAUGUUUACAGCUCCCCACCACCACCACCAUACUACUCACCUUCUCCUAAGGUUGAUGCUGCCAAAGAAUCGAUUCGUGAUUAUUUGGGCAACUAGAGAGGGCCGAAGAGUGUAGCUGGAGAAGUAACAUUCUUCCUCUUUUGUUUUCAUGUUUUGUCGGCUGAUGAAUGAAGCUGAAUUAUAUUUAUAGUAAUUCAUCUUUAUAAAAAUGCACCAUAUAGUUUGUGAUUUGAUCAAUUAAGCCCCCUUUAGUGAGGAAAUUGAUCUACUAACUGUGCUAUUCCCAAACUGGGAAACUAGAAUCAC